rnacentral:rRNA from 1 species
GACGAACGCUGGCGGCGUGCUUAACACAUGCAAGUGGAGCGACGAACCAGGGCUUGCCCUGGGGCAGAGCCGCGAACGGGUGAGUAACACGUGGGUUACCUGCCCCGAUGACCGGGACAACCCGAGGAAACUCGGGCUAAUACCGGAUGUGGUCUUCGGACGAAAGGAAGCUUCGGCCUCCGCAUCGGGAUGGGCCCGCGGCGCAUUAGCUUGUUGGUGGGGUAACGGCCUACCAAGGCUACGANGCGUAGCUGGUCUGAGAGGACGAUCAGCCACACUGGGACUGAGACACGGCCCAGACUCCUACGGGAGGCAGCAGUGGGGAAUCUUGCGCAAUGCGCGAAAGCGUGACGCAGCAACGCCGCGUGGGGAAGAAGGCCUCGG